rnacentral:lncRNA from 1 species
GCCACAAUAAAUGCACCUAAGCACAUAAAGAGUCCAAUUAUAAAACUUUAUUCAAACGAUUGAAUUUGGGAAAACGGACAUAACAAUGGAUUCAGGACGUCGAAUUACCCCAAGAAGGGCCCCAGUAAAUUUCCUAAAAGUCAACUAAAAGUCAACACAAGAAUAUUCUAGGAAUAUUCCCCAUAAAGGGUUUGGACUGGUUAGGGUUUAGGGUUUUGGACUUGGGUUACGGUUAGGUUAGUGGGUUAGGGCCUAGGCUAAAAGGGUUUUGGGCUUGAAUGGGCUGGCUUGGUAGUAAUUAUAAUGCACCACAAAGUAGCACACAAUAAUCCUAUUAAUUUUCCUUAUUAACACUAAGAUUUGUCAAUUGUAGCAUAUGAAAAUAAGGGUAUUUCCCGCAGAAGAUUGUUUUAUCCAAAUACUUAAAAAUGUCACAAAAACAGGGUGGCUGUCUCCACUGACCAGCCACCGAACAAUAAUUAUUAAACUAACUUACACUUAUCCAAAUGCAACGAAAUUUUAUACACAUAAACUAGACACACAGUACAACAGUCUCACAAAUUUUUGGGAGUUUUGGAUUUGAUUUGCUAUUUAAAUUAAAUCGUAGAAAAACAGUAAAGAAACAGAUUUUAAAUAAUACCAAUAGAUUUUAAUUCACAAGUUAAGAAAACGAGUUAGGGGACAUGCUAUCCACCACCAAAUAAUCAUGUAAGUAUGUUAUGUUUCAUUCAAAUCCCUUUUAUUUCCGGAUGAAGAUGCUCAAGUUGGCUCAAUGUUAGAACUCAACCUAUUACUCUUUCUUACGUAGUAUGUUAAGAGAAUGGCGUUUUCAACUUAACUUAGUCCCUAGCAUGCAAUCCAGAAUGGCGUGUUCAUAGAUUUAACAAGUAGAAAUCAUUAAGAAUAAAAAGAGUUUGAGUCAUCACAAGGCAUCGUAAGUACUGGUGUUGUCUUACUUAUCCUAGAAAUCGUUUCACAUGUUAACCACAAUUAACAAGUGCUACUCUAGAACAUAUGUAGGUCCUCAUUCAACAAGGGCAGACACACAUAUAUUCAUAGCAUUAAAAUCCUAGAUAUGCUCACUAUGUAUGCAUCCAUAGAAACACAUAAGAAUUUAUCAAUGACAUAAGUAGUGAAACAAUUUUCAUCCUUUCAUAAAAGUCAUUCAAACAAAAUAUCACAACAUACUUACGAUCCUAUUCGGGGCUUCAAAACAGCCCCUAACUACUAAAAAUUAGUUACACAUCAUUAUCAAAUUAAACCAAAAGUAAAAUAUCAGUUUGGGAAAAUAGAACCGAAAUAAGAGAGUGCAGAGGUUUCCUCUUUCCCUUGCCAAGCAGUGGCGUGAGCUCUCUAUUUUUCUUCUUCUUGUUUUUCUGCUCUCUGUUUGCUCUCUACGCUUCCUCUGCUUUCGUUUCUUCCUCUCUGUCUUCUCUCUAAUUUUUCUGCUCUUUUUCUCCCUUCUGCUCUCCGAGUCUUGCUUUCUGUUUCUUUUCCCCGAGGCUCAAGCUGCGCAAGGCAGCUUGCUACUUCCCCCAAAAUCACGUCCUCCUUACUGCUCUCUGCCCUCUCUUCUAUAUAUUUUUUUUCUUCUUUUCCCUUUCUUCUUUUCCUUUUCUUCUUUUCCUUUUCUUCUUUUGUUUUCUUCCUCUCUAUCCGUUCAUUUUCUUCUCCCUUCAAAACAAGAAUCAUGAUGAUGUUUCCAAACAUCAUCAUGACUUAUCAUUAUUAUUUUUUUAUUUAAUUUAAAAGCUGUUCUACACAAACAGUUUUGACGAAUUUAUUACAUAAAAUUUCACUUGUUCUAUUUUUAUUUUCUUUGCUAGACAAAUCCUAUAAUACGCAAAAACAAAGUAAAUAGCUCAAAAAUAUAAGGAACUAACUAAUAAAAGACAAGUGAAAUUUAUGUAAAAUAUAUAUAAAUAUGAAUUUAUCAUGGCUCCCUUGGGUUUGCACACACGGGCCUGGGCUAAAUGGGGUUUAGGUUUAAGUUAAAUGGGUCGAGGGCACUAGUUGGUACGGCCCAAGGGCCUGGUUUGAAAAGGUUUAGGUUGGCUUAAUGGGCCAAAGGCCCUGGGCUUUUGUUAAAGGGCUUUGGGCUUGAAAGCCCGGCUCAAGUCCAAAACGUGGGUCACCAGAGUCUCACUGGAAACUGCAUAAUUGCACCGAAAUUUUGAAGGGGUGAUUUCAAUCCAAAACUCAUGAAAUAUAAAUCAAACUCAAGGAAAAGCAUCACUGCAAGGUUCAGGGACUUACACGGAGUAGGUUUAGGAGAAAUGAGGAUCAAAUCCACCUUGGAUUCGACGAUUUCCUCAGAGACCAUUUGCUGGAUUCUGGAAACAAAGACCCCAGAAUAUACAGAGGUUAGAAACCUCAGAUUUCAACUCAAAAUUCACAUGUAGAGCAAGAGAACAAUACUUGGGUUCCUUAAGGAUUAAUCUUAGUUCUAAACGGACUCAAACUCAAGAGUUUGCACUUGGAGUUUGCCAAAAAAAAAAAAUUGGAUCGAGAGAAGUAGCAUAAUUCUCAUUCGCGUCGUAGCCUAGUCAUUCACGAGUCUCCAUUCGAGUUCCAAGGGUUGGUGACAUAAUUUAUGGUGCUUGCCAAAGAAGAUGGUGAGAAAUUGUGGUCCGGUGCAUGUGGGGGAGCUCGGGGAAAAAGAGAGUGCAAAGUGAGAGGGUUGUUGAGAGGGAGAGAUAAAAAGAGAGUGAGGGAGAAGAGAAAAUUAUGAGAGAGGAGAGAGGUGAGAGACUGGGGGACCAAAAUCAGGGGUGGGCUCCUUGGGCAUACCAUUUAACACCAAAAGCAAUAUUUUAAACAAAUGAAAUCCAACCAAAGUGAAAAUACGAAAAUACCCUUCUGUUCCAUAAAUUCCAGGACGAGUUGUUACAAUCUACCCCCGUUAAAUAAAAUUUCGUCCUGAAAUUUGAAAUAACUUGUUACACUGAAAAACUCAUAAAUAGGAAGAAGAAAAAUGUAUAUAUAUAUAACGAAGAAAUCAAGUCAGAGCGGUUGCAUAAAAGGGAAAAUGCCACAUCGUCGCGAUCAAGUUGCAAUGAUUCCAUCUUUAAUGCCUCCAGGCUCACACCUUGUUUCCCCAUCCGUGUAAAAGUAGAAACAUACUUUAUAAAGAUAUAAAGUCGAAAAUGUAUAAUAGUACAUGGUCAAAAGUAAGUAUGUAGAAUGUGAUAGCGUCAAAAUAGAUAUGUAAUAACGUAGAGGUCGAAAACUUGUAUUGAACUUAAAAUUGAAAACGGAAAUACUUCCCCCAAAACAUUUAUAACGUCAGAAUACACAUAUAACUAUAAUAAGAUAAGUUAAAAUAUUUGUACUGAAAAUCCCAAACGAAAGAAAGUGGGUCUCACCCACACAUUCGUAAUGUCACGUAGUACGAGAAAACGUGUCUUUGGGUCGAGUCCUAACAAUAACAGAGUAGUAACAACUACUGUAAACAGGUCUACCUACCCACUUGCUUAACAAAUCCAAAAAUAAGCCACCGAUAUCACAAUCGGCCGCCCACGAUAUCGACCACACAUUGUCGUUUGAAUAAGCAAGCAGUAAUUUUCCAAAGGUGCACCAUUACCAUUUUGCCCCGCAACGUGAGAGUGUGCAAAGAUCGUCUAAUUCUCGCCUCGACCGCGAUGUCGUACCUUUCUAGAGCGCACCAAUCAAAUAUGCUAGAAGUGUUUCGACAUUCACGUACUCACGAACAAUAAGGUCCUGGAGUGAAGUAGUGGAAAUAUGUGUUGAGCUGAAUAUAUAUAUUAUUGGAAAAGAACUACUAGAGUACGAUAUGAUGUUUUUGAAUUGUAGCAAAAUAAUAAGAGGCGACUAUUCAUUUUUAGGUGAAGAUAGUGAUUGGUGAUGCGAUCCGCUGACCACCCGUACUACUACCUUCACUAAUCCCUUACUAAAAGACGGCGCAAACUUCAUACCCACGUGGAACUCUUUCUGGUAAGUUUAGUAAGCUUGUGAAAAGGUUAUGCUCCUAACGUUCCUGUCCAAAACGAUAUGAACUGGCCGCUCACUUCUGCCGAAUUGAUCAAUUAUGAAUUCUUCACUGAUUGAGCGAGAAACCAUGUCAAGAUGGCUAAAAGAACACUCAAGAAUUUGAGGGUCAAAACAAGUCCAAAGAUAUUUCGUAUUUCACAACUCCUUGUGAGGAUUUUCAAUUUCCAACGGUCACAACCCCUUUUUGAAAUUGAUGAGAAUAGCGUCUACUACCAAAGAGUCUACUAAGAAAAAUAUAAAUCUAAACGAAGUCAAUGCUCGAAAGAUUUGGUGUAAAGCCAACAGUUGAUGGUUAAGGAACUUGAAUUCGUCGUUGGAGUAAGCAAGAAUGAAUCGUUCUAAAGAUCCACACGAAUUUCUUCAUGGGAAUGAGUCUGAGAACAUUCAUUUGAACCCACCAAACUACCACUUACUAAGGUUGUAGUAUGAAGGUUGUAUAACAUUGCCGAAAGACAACAAAUCUGGAAGUUGUGACAGCCAAAUGAAGUCAUGACCGACACACCACUACAGUAACGAAAUAUCGUAAGUAUGCUCUGAACAAACCACGCUCUGAUACCAAAUUGACAAGUCCAACCCUAAUAUUCUCCCUAACACCAAGGUAGGUACGUGCUGGCUGACACCUGAAGGUGACGAAGCCAUAUUAUAAUGCAUGAGAACAAGAAAUAUAAAUAAAAGUUAUGAAUUUAAAUAUAAUGCAUAUGCAAUUGAGGAACGUGUUCAGAGCAUACAACUAACUAGAAUACUAAAAAGAAAUAAUAUAAAAUUGAAUGAAUAAAAGAAUGGGUCAUACACCGAGAGGACUUGAAGAUGCCGAUGCGAGAGUGCCUUAAAGCCGGGAUUGUAUGCCUCGAUUCUAAAUCCUGAGGGGGUGCAAAACAAACAUGAGUGGACCAAGAUAUAUAUAUAUAUAUAUAUAUAUAUAAUACGAAAACAGUUAUUCAAUAACAUACUAACCCCCAAAGUUUUAUGGAAAUUCAAUAGUAUAAUAUGUAAUAGGCUUUUCCGAAAACCUUAACAUGCCAUAAACAUAUCUCGUAUAUAGUAUGAUAAAUAGUGGUAUCCAAUAAUAAUAUCUCUCAGCUCCAUGUCUCUCGGCCCGAAGCCAGAGAUUAUUUCUCCCAGCCCGUAGCCAACAACCAUAUACCUCGCCCGUGGCGG